rnacentral:rRNA from 1 species
AUUGAACGCUAGCGGGAUGCUUUACACAUGCAAGUCGAACGAGUGGCGGACGGGUGAGUAAUAUAUCGGACCGUCCCCAUGAGCGGGGGAUAACUACUAGAAAGAGUCGCUAAUCCCGCAUACUAUUGGAGCCGCCGAUAUCGUAUUAUCUAGUUGGUGGGGUAAAGGCUCACCAAGGCCACGAUCCGUAGCUGGUGUGAGAGGACGACCAGCAACACUGGGACUGAGACACGGCCCAGACUCCUACGGGAGGCAGCAGUGGGGAAUAUUGGACAAUGGGGGAAGCCCGGAUCCAGCCAUCCCGCGUGUAUGAGAAGGCCUUAGGGUUGUAAAGUACUUUCGGCAGGGAAGCGGGAGCUGCAGAAUAAGCACCGGCUAACUACGUGCCAGCAGCCGCGGUAAUUC